rnacentral:rRNA from 1 species
UACAGAGGGGGCAAGCGUUAUUCGGAAUUAUUGGCGUAAAGGGCGCGUAGGCGGCUUGGCAAGUGGAUGGUGAAAUCCCUCGGCUUAACCGAGGAACUGCCAUCCAGACUGCUUUGCUUGAGGCCGGGAGAGGUGAGUGGAAUUCCCAGUGUAGCGGUGAAAUGCGUAGAUAUUGGGAGGAACACCAGUGGCGAAGGCGGCUCACUGGACCGGUUCUGACGCUGAUGCGCGAAAGCGUGGGGAGCAAACGGG